rnacentral:lncRNA from 13 species
AUGGCACAUGACACUUCUCUCACUUCUUCUCGCUUUCGACUUGUUGGGUUGGUCCUUGCAGCAUUGACUGUCAAUGCAGUGUGUUUGAUCUGGAUUUGUUCUGUUAAGCAUGGUGAAUGGUCGUCAGGAGCUGGAGUGUUUCCAGGUCAUGACUUGGCCAAAUUCCUCAGAAGUCCCUCCUCCAAUUCUAGUGUGUUCUUUAAAGCUCUCCCCAUCAAACAGAGCUUUGCUGAGCUAGGUGAGCUGGAGUGGGAGGAAGAGAGGAAGGAGAUGGACAGUAUGUUCCUGACCAAGAGUAGGACCCACAUCCAGGUGACUGAGUCAGGCUGGUACCUGGUCUUUGUCCAAGUCACCUUCAAGCUGCCAGCAGGGAAGGAGACCAGAGACCUAAUGCUAAGGCUGGAUUUCACCUAUUCGGAACAGACGGACCAGAUUGCCAGUGCCUUCGACAAACGGCAGUUGCUGGAAGAGGAGCAAGACGCCACUCUGAGUUUCUCUGUCCUUGUGUGGGUGGGGCCGGAGAAUAGACUGUCUGUCCUGGCAAGCCACAGGGCCCUGAUUGAUUAUGAGAGGAGACCAGUCUCCACCUACAUCACCAUCAUUAGAUGCUCUGACUAGCCAAACUGGGCUGGCGUGUGGGCCAAGGUCUACUAGCUUUGGAAUCACUGUCUGUAUGCCAAUCAAAUGCCCACACUUAACAAUGAAAGAAACAAGUACGUCACCACGACCAAAGACAGGCCUAGAUUCAAUCUCUAAGCUGAAUAUCAGUGUAAAGGUGACCGAAUGCUUCCCAGCUGAAACAGUUAGGAAGAGUUGGUGCAUAGAGUUGAAGUCGUAAGUUUACAUACGCCUUAGCCAAAUACAUUUAAACUCAGUUUUUCACAAUUCCUGACAUGUAAUCCUACUAAAAUGUCCCUGUCCUAGGUCAGUUAGGAUCACCACUUUAUUUUAAGAAUGUGAAAUGUCAGAAUAAUAGUAGAGAGAAUGACCUAUUUCAGCUUUUAUUUCUUUCAUCACAUUCCGAGUGGGUCAGAAGUUUACAUACACUCAAUUAGUAUUUGGUAGCAUUAGCCUAUCAGAAGCUUCUAAAGCCAUGACAUAAUUUUUAACUUAGUGUAUGUAAACUUCUGACCCACUGGAAUUGUGGUACCGUGAAUUAUAAGUGAAAUAAUCUGUCUGUAAACAAUUGUUGGAAAAAUUACUUGUGUCAUGCACAAAGUAGAUGCCCUAACUUGCCAAAACUAUAGUUUGUUAACAAGACAUUUGUGGAGUGGUUGAAAAACAAGUUUUAAUGACUACAACCUAAGUGUAUGUAAACUUCAGACUUCAACUGUGAAUACUUUAGUCUGGUAAACAUAUCUGAUUCUAAGAUUUCCGAAUGGCAUUCUGAAGUACCCAUUCUAACAACCUACGACUUUGAUCUCUUAUGAACACAAUCAGAGACUUUCUGUCGACUCUCUCCAGCAGACAGACCGGCGACCACAGAGAGAGACAACAAGACAUACACUCAUACGUUUGUAAAUUGAAAUGUCUUUUCAAAUGAGCGGUCGUUCAUGUCAGAUAUUAGCAAUUUCUAUGAGUGUAUUUAUCAGCCAUGAGUUUGUAUGAACUAAUUGUGUGUGUUUUCAUGUAUUUCUGUGACUUGAUUAGUUAGUUAGUAAAUAAAUAAUUAAACCAAUUUGUAUAUCGCUGAUUCAUAAUUUAUGCUAGGGUUCGUGCAAGGGUUUGCAACAUUCAGUAAUGAGAACUGAUGAGGUAAUAAUUCAUUAAUAAGUGACUGUUUUGAUAAGAUAUAAAAACAUCUGAUGAGUUAUAGUCGAGAAAUUAACACUCUAUUAACAUUUUCCCAUGGUGCCCCAACUUCCUAGUUAAUUAAAGUUACAUGAUUUGUUUAAUUGCGUAAUUAAAUUACACAUAGAGAAUUGAUUUUAUAAUAUACAGUCCUCACAUUUAAUAAUAGUCCAGACAUGACAGUCUUUACAACAUGAUUUAAAUUUAAAGGCAAUGUUCCCACGUUCGUAGAGACUGCAUUCACGGUAAACACUGCAUAUGUCGGCUCAAUGGGAAAUUACCUUUACAUUUCACUGGCAAGCAAAACAUUUUUAAAACCUGUGCUCUUAUCAUGAGCUGUCAAUAGGUCACUGCUGGCUUGUUUAUGACGUGUGACAGAGAAACUGUAGUUAGGAUCAGUGGUGCUGAUAGACAUGAAUAUAGUCACUGGCACGAGGCAAGCGGGAAGGGUGUAUGGGAUGCUAAGUUUCUUCCUCUUAAUUUUCUGACUAAUUUGUCUUCCCAAAACUGAAUGUCUGCAUUGAAGACAAAAUAGUUAUGUUAGGGUUCUAGCACAGUGCAUCUCAAUAGGAAGACUACAGUAAAGCCAGGAUUUUAUGUGGGCUGAAAAAUCUAACCAUGCAUUUUGUAUGUUAAAUCUGGUAACUUUUUUCAUAUAUUCAACAAUGGAAUGUGUUGCAGAGAAAUAAAGUGCCUGACCACACUAGACAACUUAAUGUUUUGUUGCAAUGAUUGAUGUACACUGAGUGAAAAAAACAUUAGGAACAUCAGCU